AUUGAACGCUGGCGGCAGGCCUAACACAUGCAAGUCGAGCGGAGCGGCGGACGUGUGUGUAAUGCCUAGGAAUCUGCCUGGUAGUGGGGGAUAACGUCCGGAAACGGGCGCUAAUACCGCAUACUAUCGGAUGAGCCUAGGUCGGAUUCGCUAGUUGGUGGGGUAAAGGACUACCAAGGCGACGAACCGUAACUGGACUGAGAGGAUGAUCAGUCACACUGGAACUGGGACGCGGUCCAGACUCCUGCGGUAGGCAGCAGUGGGGAAUAUUGGACAAUGGGCGAAAGCCUGAUACAGCCAUGCCGCGUGUGUGAAGAAGGUCUUCGGAUUGUAAAGCACUUUAAGGUGGGGGGCGUUACCAACAGAAUAAGCACCGGCUAACUUCGUGCCAGCAGCCGCGGUAAUUC
rnacentral:rRNA from 1 species